rnacentral:lncRNA from 1 species
UGUGUAAUAUAUAAAUGUAUGCACGAGCAUGUAUGUAUGUAUUUUAAAUGUGCACUUACUUUUGGCUACACAUGUGCGUGUGCGUACGCGAGUAUAUUUAUAUACAUACAUACAUACAAAUAUAUAUACAUACGUAUGCGUGCGUAUGUGUAACCCAAGCUUGUAUGUGUGUGUGUGUAUAUAUAUAUAUAUAUAUAUAUAUAUAUACAUACGUAUGCGUGCGUAUGUGUAACCCAAGCUUGUGUGUGUGUAUAUAUAUAUACAUACGUAUGCGUGCGUAUGUGUAAUCCAAGCUUGU